rnacentral:snRNA from 3 species
GUGUUUGCUUCAGCAGCACAUAUACUAAAAUUGGAAUAAUACAGAGAAGAUUAGCAUGGCCCCUAAGCAAAGAUAAUACCACAAAUUUGUGAAGCCUUCCAUAUUUUU